rnacentral:rRNA from 1 species
ACGAACGCUGGCGGCGUGCUUAACACAUGCCAGUCGCACGGUGAAGCUCCAGCUUGCUGGAGUGGAUCAGUGGCGAACGGGUGAGUAACACGUGAGCAACCUGCCCCUGACUCUGGAAUAAGCGCUGGAAACGGCGUCUAAUACUGGAUACGAGAAGGGUCCGCAUGGGCACUUUCUGGAAAGUUUUUCGGUUGGGGAUGGGCUCGCGGCCUAUCAGCUUGUUGGUGAGGUAAUGGCUCACCAAGGCGACGACGGGUAGCCGGCCUGAGAGGGCGACCGGCCACACUGGGACUGAGACACGGCCCAGACUCCUACGGGAGGCAGCAGUGGGGAAUAUUGCACAAUGGGCGAAAGCCUGAUGCAGCGACGCCGCGUGAGGGAUGACGGCCUUCGGGUUGUAAACCUCUUUCAGCAGGGAAGAAGCGAAAGUGACGGUACCUGCAGAAGAAGCACCGGCUAACUACGUG